rnacentral:lncRNA from 1 species
CCGAGUAAUUUCUUUUUGAAGUUAAAUUACAUAAGGUUUUAAUUAUUAUGUUCUAAUACGAGCUAAUGGUUCAUAUCCGUUAAGGCAGUGAUUACUCAAAGUAGCUAUAUGUCAUGAGUUGGAGAGCAUUAAGCAUCAUAGUGGUUUAAAUAUGCCAAUAUGUUCGUAUGCAAUUAGGCCAUAUAUAUUGGUCGCCUGUAAUUAUAAUAUUUUACUGCCAGCUCAACCUGUAAUAGUAUUUAUUGCUAAAUGUGCCGGCUUCUUAUGAUAAAUCAUCUGUCGCACACAGCCGUGCCUACGACCUAACAACAUAGAACUCCUCAUCUGUAAAGUGCCAAUGAUAAUCAGGUAUAUUCUCCCAAAGAUUUAUAUGAAGAAGCCAGCAGAGCAAAAGGCUGUGUAACCCUGACCGGCAAUUUGAUGUAUUUACUCUUACGUAGCCUUUUAAUAUUUCUUAGUUAUAUGCAGUGUUAUCGAAAGCAUUAAGCGCACCAAGGCGAAAAACUCUCUGGAGCCUAGGCGCAAAGCGCAAAAGCGAGGCGCGCGCUUCUUUGAAGCUAGGCGCAUGUUUUACGAAUUUUUUUAUUUAUUAUUUAGGAUAUAUGUAUAUAGGUUUAUAACAUUAUUUAUACUUGAUAAUAUAUUAAAUCACACUAUAAGCCAAAAAUAACUUAAUUUAUCCUUUAUAAUAUAUUAAUUGAUACUUUUAGAGGGAAAAACUAUCCUAAAAUUAAAUAUUAAAAUUCAAUCCUAAGAAAAGCAAGUCCCCUCCUCCUCCUCUAAUAAACGUCGAGGCCUCUUACCUUUGCUCUAAUUUGAACUUGAAGGAUUGGGGUUAUUUUGAACCCUAUUAGACUUAGAGGCUGAUUUUGAUUGCGACCUGGAGUUAUAUGCAGGCUCUCUAGCACCUGAAGCUUUUUCAACUAUUGACCAAUUUAGUCCAUCAUCAUCGGAGAAGAUGAAAGCUGAGAGCCUGAUAUAGCCUUUUUAUUUGGGCCUAAAAUUCUUUUUUUUGUUAUGGGUUAGUACUUUUAGGCUUUAAAAGUGUCCCAAUUUUUUUUUUUUUGUUUUGGGUUAGUACUUUUAGGCUUUAAAAGUGUCCCAAUUUUUUUUUUUUUGUUAUGGGUUAGUACUUUUGGGCCUUAAAAGUGGCCCAAUAACAUUAAAUAACUUAUUAUGCGCUUAGCUUCACCAAAGCGCGCUUUUCUACCGCUUCGUGCUUAAGCGCUUUUUUGCUUCAAGGCUAAAAGCGUGCGCUUCAUUGAAGUUGCUUCGCCUCGACAUAUAUGAGGCGCUAAGGGUGCGCUUUGCUUCGCUUUGCUCGCCUAGGCGCGCUUUUCACAACACUGGUUAUAUGCCAUGUCCAUAAUAAGCGAAGCAACAGUUAUGCUUAUCCUUUAAUCUGAAGUUAUUUUUUUUUAAAUAAAGCAGUUGACAACUGUAUUCUCCACUUGUUUUCACUAGAAGAAAUGAACAUUAUGCCUCUCAUUUCUUUUGGAAAGUACCUCUACCUCAUGCUAUGAUUGUGUUGUUUCCCCCCUGAAAUGACCAUCUCCUUGUGAUAUACAUAUCCUUAAUAUUAUUGACCAAGUUUUCGUGACUAAUAAUGUUAUAAGUUUUAAUAAUACUUUCACUUGUCUUCAGCAAUUGGAGCUACAUUUUAAGUGGUAUUAUACAACUCGU